GAUGAACGCUGGCGGCGUGCCUAAUACAUGCAAGUCGAGCGAACAGACGAGGAGCUUGCUCCUCUGACGUUAGCGGCGGACGGGUGAGUAACACGUGGAUAACCUACCUAUAAGACUGGGAUAACUUCGGGAAACCGGAGCUAAUACCGGAUAAUAUAUUGAACCGCAUGGUUCAAUAGUAAAAUACGGUUUUGCUGUCACUUAUAGCUGGAUCCGCGCCGCAUUAGCUAGUUGGUAAGGUAACGGCUUACCAAGGCGACGAUGCGUAGCCGACCUGAGAGGGUGAUCGGCCACACUGGAACUGAGACACGGUACAGACUCCUACGGGAGGCAGCAGUAGGGAAUCUUACGCAAUGGGCGAAAGCCUGACGGAGCAACGCCGCGUGAGGGAUGAAGGUCUUCGGAUGGGAAAACUCUGUUAUUAGGGAAGAACAAAUGUGUAAGUAACUAUGAACGUCUUGACGGUACCUAAUCAGAAAGCCACGGCUAACUACGUG
rnacentral:rRNA from 1 species